rnacentral:lncRNA from 1 species
CAGAAUGGCAUACUAAGGAUCACAUGUUCAGCAUUUCUCAAGAAAAACUUGGAGAUGUUUGGUUCAGGAUGCGCAAAAGGUAGCAAGUACUCAGACGAGUUACGAGAGAAAAAUAGUGAAUGUUACGCAUAUUCAACAGAACAAUAUCGGCAGUAAAACAAUGUAAUUUGCAUCAUGUUUUCUUUCUUGAUUUACUAUUAGUUUUUUAAAAAGUUCUAAGCCUGCCAAGCACUAAGCUGCACGUAUGGUUGUGAAAAAAUUAACUGUUAGGCUGAUAAUUAAGAUAAUAUAUUCAGUUCAGGGAUAGGUCAUAUGAGUUGGACGGCAGUCGAUCAGCUCUGAAACAUGUCUUCCAUAACCAUGAGUAUCAGAUAUUCCCG